CAGCCAGGAUCGUCAGGUUUCCUGAGGUUUCCAGCUGGGCACAUUCCUGAUGGCCUCUGCGUGUGCACAUGUGUGUCCUUUUUUCUUAGAGAUUCUGCAUUUGUAACAACUUCCCAGGUGAUUUUGAUGGACGCUGACUUUCAGAGCUCAUUGCCCUAAAGACUCCUGGCCUAAGAGUGAGGAAGUCUGAGGAAUCUGGUUUCAGCUCCACUGAUAUCUAACCGCACGUACACCAGGUCCUGCAGAUGACAACCUCUGGUGGAACGGAGUGAUGCUGGAUUCAGUACUCAACACACAAGUGUCAGCUCCUGGGAAGGGCAAAAGCAGCUUCACAGCGACACCAGGGAUGGCAGAGAUGUUCUUCCUCAGCGUUCCCAUGGAGAACACUAGUGUCCUGAGAGAGAAUGCACCUGCUUUGGUGAACACUGACUGUCUCAGCUGUGGCAUGACGACAAGGGCUUGGAGGAAAUGCCAACUGACUCCAGCAGCACAACCUGGAGAACGCGGCUCAGAGAAGACUUGAGAACGUGGCUCAGAGAAGACUUGCAGUGGGUGGGCCCGGCCUCUUCCAGGUGGGGGACUCCCAGGUGAGGCCACUGCUCUGCCCUGGGCCAUCACACUUUGAGAAGGGGACUGGGUGUAGGUAAUGCCCACACUUGGCCAUGAUUCUGCUUCCACAGAGGUCCCAGCUAAAUAGUCUUAAUUAACAAUGUGAUGUUACCUUUAAGGGAUGAAGGUUUAGUGAUUGAGAGAAAUGAGGAAUUCAGGAAUGUGCUUAGCACUGAGCGGUUUCUUAACACAUAUGGUUGGCAAAUCAAGGCACAACUUAAAACCACUCAAUUAAGGUAAUAAAUUAAGCAGUGAAACUAAUUUCUAAAUAUCCCAAAUUUGACACACAUUAUUCCAAAGAUCUCAGACCUCCUCCUGCCAUGGCCUUCCUUUCCUUUGAGCUGCUCAAGCCAUGUAAGUUGCCUCCCCUCUUUCUGUGAUAUCUUCUACCCAUUGGCAACAAAUCCUCUCCAAAGUGUGCAGCAUCUAGCCAUGUCUGAGCUACUGUCAAGGCUCAGCUGUGUGGCCACCACAUGACCUCCUGAC
rnacentral:lncRNA from 1 species